rnacentral:rRNA from 1 species
GACGAACGCUGGCGGCGUGCUAAACACAUGCAAGUCGAACGGACAGACAGAGAGCUUGCUCUCUUGAAGUUAGUGGCGAACGGGUGAGUAACGCGUACUCAACCUGCCCUUCAGAGGGGGAUAACAACGGGAAACCGUUGCUAAUACCGCGUACGAUUCAUGAACGGCAUCGUUUAUGAAUGAAAGGUGGCCUAUAUGUAUAAGCUAUCGCUGAAGGAGGGGAUUGCGUCUGAUUAGCUAGUUGGAGGGGUAACGGCCCACCAAGGCAAUGAUCAGUAGCCGGUCUGAGAGGAUGAACGGCCACAUUGGGACUGAGACACGGCCCAAACUCCUACGGGAGGCAGCAGUGGGGAAUCUUCCGCAAUGGACGAAAGUCUGACGGAGCAACGCCGCGUGAGUGAUGAAGGUCUUCGGAUUGUAAAGCUCUGUUAAUCGGGACGAAAGAGUUCUGCGUGAAUAAUGCAGAAAAGUGACGGUACCGGAAUAGAAAGCCACGGCUAACUACGUGCCAGCCGCCGCCGUAA